rnacentral:rRNA from 1 species
CAUGCACGUCUAAGUACUCGCCUUGGUUUAUUUAAAGUGAAACCGCGAAUGGCUCAUUAAAUCAGUUAUGGUUCACUGGACCGUACCACAUCCUACUCGGAUAACUGUGGUAAUUCUAGAGCUAAUACAUGCAACUAGGCCCCGCCCGGCCGCCCCGUCCGUCAAAACGACGGUCGGUCGGAAAGGGCGCCAUUAUCAGCUCAAAACCGACCGGGUCGCCCACCGUCCUCUGGGCGGGCAGGGCUCCCGUUCUCGUUGAUUACUUUGACGACUCUGGAUAACCUCCUAGCGGAUCGCCGGUCAAACUUAGGUCGGCCGGGUGUUUCGGCACUCGCGCCCGACCUAACGGCGACUGGUCUUUCGAAUGUCUGCCUUAUCAACUGUCGACGGUAGGUUAGACGCCUACCGUGGUCGUAACGGGUGACGGGGAAUCAGGGUUCGAUUCCGGAGAGGGAGCCUGAGAAACGGCUACCACAUCCAAGGAAGGCAGCAGGCACGCAAAUUACCCAAUCCCCGAACGGGGAGGUAGUGACGAAAAAUAACGAUACGGGACUCUUAACGAGGCCUCGUAAUCGGAAUGAGUCCGCUCUAAAUCCUUUUAACGAGGAUCUAUCGGAGGGCAAGUCUGGUGCCAGCAGCCGCGGUAAUUCCAGCUCCGAUAGCGUAUAUUAAAGUUGCUGCGGUUAAAAAGCUCGUAGUUGGAUUUGGGUUUUCGGGCCGGCGGGCCGCCGCCUUCGAGCGGCGCGUCUCCCGCCGCGCCCCCGGAACCGCACGGUCGCAGAGGCCCCCGCGGUGCUCUUCAAUGAGUGUCCGCCGGUUCGGGUCGCCGAACGUUUACUUUGAAAAAAUUAGAGUGCUCCAGGCAGGCCGGUAAAGCGUUGUUUAAAAAAGACCCGCGCCUGAAUAGUCACGCAUGGAAUAAUGAAAGAGGACUGGUGGUCCUAUUUUGUUGGUUUUCGGGAUUUUCCGCCGUCAUGAUUAAGAGGGACGGCCGGGGGCAUUCGUACCGCGGCGCGAGAGGUGAAAUUCUAGGACCGCCGCGAGACGAACCGUUGCGAAAGCAUUUGCCAAGAAUGUUUUCCUUAAUCAAGAACGAAAGUCAGAGGUUCGAAGGCGAUCAGAUACCGCCCUAGUUCUGACCGUAAACGAUGCCACCUGACGAUCCGCCAGGGUUACUACCAUGACUCGGCGGGCAGCCCCCGGGAAACCCAAGCCUUCGGGUUCCGGGGGAAGUAUGGUUGCAAAGCUGAAACUUAAAGGAAUUGACGGAAGGGCACCACCAGGAGUGGAGCCUGCGGCUUAAUUUGACUCAACACGGGGAACCUCACCCGGCCCGGACACCGCGAGGAUUGACAGAUUGAGAGCUCUUUCUCGAUUCGGUGGGUGGUGGUGCAUGGCCGUUCUUAGUUGGUGGAGCGAUUUGUCUGGUUAAUUCCGAUAACGAACGAGACUCUAGCCGGUUAAGUAGCCCGGAGCGGUUUUUGAUCUUUGCCGUCCGUCCUCCGUCUUACCUUUUUUUUCCCGUCCUCGGCUGACCGGUCAACGGAGGGGAAAGGGAAAAAGGCGAGGAGGUGGUCAUCCGUGGCGGGGUUUCUCCGUUUUCCGUGCGCGUUCGCCCUCACCGGCAGACGUCGCACGGGCGGUGGCCCUGUCCCGGGGAAGCCGUCGCUUCGUUUUUUCCUCCCUGAACCUUCGCCCGGGAGGUCGAGACGGAAAGGGUGGUCGAGGCGGAAGCAUAACCGAAGGCCGCCGGCUUUUACAGGAAGCUUCUUAGAGGGACGAGCGGCGUUCAGCCGCCCGAGAUUGA